CCCUUAGAUGUUCUGGGCCGCACGCGCGCUACACUGAUGCAUUCAACGAGUCUAAAACCUGCUCUGAUAGGGGUGGGUAAUCUUUUGAAUGUGCAUCGUGAUUGGGAUAGAUGAUUGCAAUUUUUCAUCUUCAACGAGGAAUGCCUAGUAAACGCAAGUCAUCAGCUUGCAUUGAUUACGUCCCUGCCCUUUGUACACACCGCCCGUCGCUACUACCGAUUGGAUGGCUUAGUGAGACCCUCGGACCGAUAGGCUGUCGCCGCGGCAACGUGGCGACCGGCCCGUCGGGAAGAAGGUCAAACUUGACUGUCUAGAGGAAGUAAAAGUCGUAACA
rnacentral:rRNA from 1 species